rnacentral:rRNA from 1 species
GAUGAACGCUAGCGGCAGGCCUAACACAUGCAAGUCGAGGGAGGAGCUUUCGGGCUUCGACCGGCGUACGGGUGCGUAACGCGUAUACAAUCUGCCUUUCACAUAGGGAUAGCCCGAAGAAAUUUGGAUUAAUACCUAAUGGUAUAUAGAGGUGGCAUCACCUUUAUAUUAAAGCUGAGGCGGUGAAAGAUGAGUAUGCGUUCUAUUAGCUAGUUGGAGAGGUAACGGCUCCCCAAGGCGACGAUAGAUAGGGGUUCUGAGAGGGAUAUCCCCCACACUGGUACUGAGAUCCGGACCAGACUCCUACGGGAGGCAGCAGUGAGGAAUAUUGGACAAUGGUCGGAAGACUGAUCCAGCCAUGCCGGGUGCAGGAAGACGGCCUUAUGGGUUGUAAACUGCUUUUGCAGGGGAAGAAUAAGGACUACGCGUAGUUUGAUGACGGUACUCUGCGAAUAAGCAUCGGCUAACUCCGUG